rnacentral:rRNA from 1 species
ACGAACGCUGGCGGCGUGCUUAACACAUGCCAGUCGAACGGAAAGGCCCUGCUUUUGUGGGGUGCUCGAGUGGCGAACGGGUGAGUAACACGUGAGUAACCUGCCCUUGACUUUGGGAUAACUUCAGGAAACUGGGGCUAAUACCGGAUAGGAGCUCCUGCUGCAUGGUGGGGGUUGGAAAGUUUCGGCGGUUGGGGAUGGACUCGCGGCUUAUCAGCUUGUUGGUGGGGUAGUGGCUUACCAAGGCUUUGACGGGUAGCCGGCCUGAGAGGGUGACCGGCGACAUUGGGACUGAGAUACGGCCCAGAAUCCUACGGGAGGCAGCAGUGGGGAAUAUUGCACAAUGGGCGGAAGCCUGAUGCAGCAACGCCGCGAGCGGGAAGACGGCCUUCGGGUUGUAAACCGCUUUCGCCUGUAACGAAGCGUGAGUGACGGUAAUGGGUAAAGAAGCACCGGCUAACUACGUG